AGAAGAUUGAACUCUCAACCAUGACACAUGUGAUGGGGAAAUCUGAGUUGAUGGACUGAAAAUCUUGAAUCUGAAUUCCUUUGAAUCUUCUGAGCCCACAGAAGUAGCCCACUCCUCCCUUUGAAGAUGGAAGUGCAUGUUGUAGAGGAUAAAGUCUGUCCUGCAUGCUGUGCAGUGUCCUGAUGAUACUGGCCCGGACUCACUGAUGCUGCCAUGUCCUCAUGGUCUCUAAGUGAUUUGAUACCUCUGUGUGCUGUCUCACAGUCUCUUGGCCUCACUUCUGACUCCAACUAUGGCUAUGGCAAACAGUUCUUGUGGCCUUUGACUCACUGGCAAUAUCUCACCUUAAGCACACACCAGCCAUUUUCAUUUGCUGUCCCAGUCCUUCCCUGACAUAGCGGAAUGAUCAGUCAAUUUGCAGCCCAGUCUGGAGUAAUGUUGUCACAGACAAGAUGAGGUGAGAUGCAAGUUGGGCCUCUGACACAUCUUUUGCAGGGAGGAACUACAAAUGGAAAGCUGAAGAACACUAUGGCAUUUCUGGCAGUCAAGAUUUGGAAAGUUACACACUAAGAAGCUAUAAUAUGCUUAAGGAUAAUUUCCACCUAAUAAAGAGAACAGAAAUUUUGUUUAUGCAACCAAAUAGAGAGUUACUGUAUAGAGCAUAUAUUUUCUGAAUCAAACAGAACAGAGAAUGACGGCAUUGAGACAUGUAGAAAUACCCUUAUAAUGACGGAGCUGUCAUGUGGAAUCAUGUGUUAUUUCAUGUGUCCAUUCCAUCUGAAUGAGCAAUAAAACCAUCUUGGA
rnacentral:lncRNA from 1 species